UGAGACCUUUACAACAACAACAACAAAAAAUCAGCUGGCCGGGCCAAGACCAAAUGUUUCGUGGGCGGACGUUUCCCACCGCUGAUUGAAGGUAUUCACCAUUCAGUUUUUAUUUGCUGUCUUCUAUAUAUCUAUAUCUAAAUACAUUAUUUGUAAAGAAAUGUUUUUCAAGUGACGUAUAAUGCGCUCCGUUGGUCUUUCCACCUGUAAAGUUUAUCUUAAGGUGUAUGACGUCAUGUGUAAUAAAUAAUAACAACCUCAACUAAUGGUGCGUGUAUGUAUGUAUAUUUAUUUAUAGGUAUAUGCGUGUUUGUGAUUGUGGUCAUGUGUACAUGCGUGUGUGUAUGUGUGUGUGUGUGUGGGGGGGGGGCCACAAGCGUUGCUCAUUGUCUCAAGCGUGGUCGAGUGUCGUCUGUAAAGGACGAGGCCAGGUUACCCGAGCUCCUACCCACCGAGGUAUGGUGAGGCUUUGCCCUGGCGCGUGAAGACAAACAGUCCGACUGUUAAGCCCCCGAUCAGUGAUCAGACAAUCAGGAAUUCUUCGCAACAAGGGGUCGGGCAGACAUUUCGAUCGUCACCUGAUCUCUCCGGGCAGCGGGCCAGUCCGUGUUGUUGUCUCUAGUAGCGGCUGGUCUGUAUUGUAUUCCAAACAGUACACACCACCACAUUCAAAUAUCAGUCGUUCUCACAGCCUGAUGUUUCGCCGUUAAGGUGUUCAGGUGAACAAGUUCAAAUAUUCGCCAUCUUUCGAUUUUCAUGAAUGUGAUUCCGACGCAGGAAGAGUGGAGUUCAAUGUCUGUCACCCAGCAAACGUGUCCUUCACUGCCCCGGUUUGUGCUCCAGAGAUGCCCGAUACCUUACAUCCCGCCGACAGGUCGUCCCAGGACCGGUCAUUGUCAGUCUUCACAGGACCUCCAUAAGUCCAUCCCAAGAUUAUCGCAUCGUCAGUCAUCGCAGAAUCUGUACAGGUCCUGCUGGUCAUCGUCUCAUCGUCCAUCCACGCAGGGCGUCAUCAGGGCUGUGCCCAGGACAUCACAUCGACAUUCGACGAUCAGCGACGAUGAUGGCGGCUGUUCUUUAACUCCAGUCCGCUCAUCCUCGGCAGUUCUCGCGUUACAGCCCGAGACUCAUUCUUUGCGACGCAGGUUGAAAGCGAGACCUGUGCCAGGAGAAGCACAGAUGGUUCCAGAAGGCCUCACAGCGCACUUCAUGACCUUUCUAUCGGAAAAUACAGAAAAGACAUGUUAGCCCCAUCAGCCAAGAAAAUUCGGGAUGUGAUCCACAUGGAAAAGACUUCUUCAAAAGGUGACACCCUGAUUUUUCACAACCUGCCGCUCCUGUGUGACGAAACACUAGAAAGGCAGGUGGUCAACUUUUGUCAAAACUUUCUUGUCGUCGGGAUUAGGAAACUUCACAUCAGCGACGUUCAUCGAAUGGAGCCGCGCUUUGGCAACGACGGACCAAUCACAGUCCACGUGAGUCACGUGACGCCGCGUGACCAGGACCGUGGAGCAAAAGUCAUAUAACAGGAGACUCGCUCACAGCACUGACCUACACGUAGCCUAGUCAUAGCUUUUAAUGGUUUGAAUAGUGGAACUUUAAAAAGUAACAGUUUUAAGAGCAGGGGCAGUAACUGAGAAAAUAACAAGCUACUCGUAACAAGAUCUAAUAUCAAUUUCAUUAACUAAUACUUAAUAAGGGUUAAAAGUAGAGACUGAAUACUUAUAUCCGAUCUUUUAACAUGUUUUGCAAGUAUUACGCAACGUAGUAAAAAUCAGAAGGAAAAACCCAGUUUGCUGGUAAUUAUUUGCAUUGCAGAGUUAUCAGCUGCUUUCAAAUUUGUGACCGUUAGAAUAUUUCGCAACAACGAUGUCGAUGAGUUCGAAGUGAUGCAAUGCCAGGCUGCUUCUGUUACAGAGUAUGAGUCACAGCUGCUGUCUGAGGUCAACUCACAGCACGCAGAUGUAGGUUAGCGGGCAGCAACGGGAAGGGAGGCCUUGAACAGGAGGAGAGAACAAGAUGAGCGAUUUCGCAAUCUGUACCCACUCACCCCUAUCCACACGAGAAGUCGUGCAGGCAAACAAACACGUUCUCUUCAUGUCCACCCCGCACAUACGAACGCACACACGCACGCACACAAUCCCAAGUCAGAUUAUUUCCCGAUUAGUUCCACACUCUCGUUAGGCUGCUGACAACGGGUGGGAAUACCUUGACAUUCUUCGAAUAGUCUGGAAACCUCCCGCUGCAGAUGCAUGGCCUGUCAGAACCAGUCCGGGAAUAACUUUAACCGGAGUUCUGCUGUCAUCUCCAUGGAAACCAGUAUCUGACCUAAUCUGUGAACCUUGACGUGCUCGGAGGGUAGUGAGGGAGGAAAUUGGGAAAAAGCGAGUUCACGAGACAUGUCUGUCCGCCAAAAUAGCUUCUCGAGUGUUUGCCCUCCCCCAUCACCUCUCCUAAAUCUCCUCCUCCCAUUCCUGUCAAAGGAAAUUAUUCCAGGGCGGUAGAACUUUCUUUGAGGAUAUUUGCGUGCAGACGUUCUUUCCUGCAAAAGACUUUCGGCGCGAAAACUGUUGCCGUGUAUUGAAAUAUUGCCACGCCGUACACAUGUACCCGUACUCCUGCGUACAUCAGCUCUGUGACACUUACCCACCCCAAAUCAUUCAAGCCUUCCAAACGCAGUUUUCGGAGGGGUAGGUUAGGUAAGGGUAGACCGAGUAAUUCUGUUUGUUUGUGUGCGCGCGCGCGUGCCUGUGUCCAGGAAGGUUAGUGCAAAUACACAAAGAUUUAUGCACCCUAGCACUCGUCCUCAGGAAGUCCUUCCGCUCAUCAAUAACUUGCUAUGACAUGAAUAUGAGGACAAGAUAUGGGAAGGAAGGAAAAUCUCAAGUGGCUUCCCUUGCAGACGUGUUUAGUGACCGCGGUUUUUUUUUUUCCCUCCAUUUCCCAGCCGCACGAACACAUCAAAGCUGAAAGACAGGCAUGGAUGUAUUUAUAAUAUGUAGAAAGAAAAUAAAGAAUGCCAGAAAUAUGUCCCUUGAAGAUUGAGUGUUGUAUGCAGCUGUAACUUUCAUGGACUGAAUAAACUUUGUAUAUUCCAACUCAA